AGCAGAGUUUUCUUUAAAAAUAGAUAUCCAAAAAAUUCUAAACCUGUCUACAAAACUUACAAUCAUCGAUACAUAUCCAAACCACCAAAAAAACCAUCAUUCCAUACCAAAAAAUCACCAGAACCAUGUAUAAUUAAUUAGCUUUACAAAAGACGGAACACAAAAAAUACAAAUGGACAGAAAAUAGAGAAAUAUGUUGCAUAAGACCCAUUACUUUACAGCUUACACCAAGUAUCCUUCAAUGUAUACCUGAAAAUAUUUGAAAUAUAAAAAUUAUCGAAAUAUGUGUCAAAAUAUAAUAACUGUAACACUACAAGAAAAAGGCCUAUCAGCGACCAAGGAUAUCAGCGACCGCAUAUCCGAUCGCAGAUAAUACUUACAGCGACCAACAUCCGCGACCGUAACUAAAUCUGGUCGCUAUUUACUAUCAGUGACCGCAUGCGGUCGCUGCUCGGUCGCUGACAUUAGUUUCCCUCCCAAAAAUUGGUGCGAAAAGGUGGCGCGUUUAUUUGUUGCGACCAAUAUAUAUCAGCGACCGCAUUGCAGUCGCUAAAGGGGCCACGUCAUAAAAAAUCAGCGACCGCAAGCAGUCGCUGAUCAACUAAAACUUAUUCAGACUCAGGUUCGCGAUAUCAGUAGAAGAAAAAAAAGAGGGAGAUACAUGAGGGAGAAGAGGGAGUAGGGGGAAGAGAGGACCUGUACUGUCGCACCACCGCUGCACUACCCGCUUCACCACUGCCGCACCACCACUUCACUACACCGGUAAACUAAUUUUGGGUUUAAUUUGUUUGUUUAAUAUGCUAGAAUUUGUGUUUAAUUUAGGGUUUUAAUAUAUUUUGUUAUAAAAAUGAUGAAUCCUCGAAUGAAUUAGUGUUCAAUUUGAGUUUUGAAAUUUAAUCUAGGGUUUAAUUUGUUAUAUAUUAAUCGAGGCUGAAUUCAACUUGGGUUUGAUAUGUUGGAAAUUUGGAUUUGAUAUUUACUGUAUUGUAUACUGCAAUUAGUGUUUGAUUUGUGCAAAUACAUAUUCUACAAUUAAGUUUUAAUUUGUAUAAAUUUGAGUUUGAUAUGUAAUGUAUGAACAGAAAAGAAUGUAUCAAUUUUUGGUUUGUUUAUGCAUGUUUAGGUAUAGUGUGUAUAUUUGAUAUAUAUAUAUAUAUAUGGAAUAGUAACAUUUAUCUCUGACGACUAUUUCGUAGAAAUUAAGUUUCAUGCCCUGACACGUAUAUCUGUAAACUUUUAGUUUCCUUAUUCUGUUUUGCAAUAGCAAAUUUUGUAGGAUUAUUUUUUGAUUUUAUUUCAGUGUACUGAUUCCUGGUGGUUCCAUCGCUAAUCUUCCUAUAAAUUUCAUUCCUAAACCCCGUAGGCUGCUUUGGUUUAUCUAGUCUUGAUACUGUUUUACAUAUUGAUAGACACAAACCUAGAUUGGAUCUAGAGCUGUAAUUUGGUUUAUUAGUGUGUUUUCUAGAGCUGUAAUUUGGUUUAUCUAGUCUUAAUACUGAUUUAUCGUUAUUGUUUUGGUCUUAUUAUAUUGGAAAUUUGUAUAUUUCUCUUGAUUUGUGUCUUGGGUGCCUAGAAAUGACUUUAUAUAUAUGCUGUCGUGCAUGUGGCUAGUCUAUAUUAUAGGGGAGACUCUGGCGAAUUUUUUUUAUUGGUCGGGUAGUUGCGAACAUUUAUACUAUUAAUGAGCCUAUUGUUGAUCCACUAGAGCCUAUUAAGGGGCUAUUGGAGUUGAUGGGCUGGGCUUGGGACAACGAGGCCACAUGAGACCACGCCAAGCUUAGCCAAGCCUCACGGGGCAAAUCCAAGCUUGGUUGUUAGCAUGGAAAGCUAUUGGGGGGCUGCUAAGCCAAAAUAGGCAGUGCUAGGGAACUGUUAGUGCAACAGAGAAGGUAACUAGACACACAUGGUCAAUAAAGAGACUGUUUAUCUUUUUAACAAGGGUAUUUAACACUUAUGUAUAUAAGAAUAAAGCUACAAAAUGUUAUAGAAGCUAUAAAUUGCUCAACCAAGUUGUGACUAUCCCAAAACAUAGAAAAUUAUAGAAAGGGACAGUGACGGGCAUAAUCUUAAAACAUGUUAGGCGCCUUAACACACUAGUUGAUAUGAAUGAAUCUCCAAGAUACUUAAAAGUUGUAUAACAUUCAAAGUUUCUCAUAUGUUAAUUAACAUUUAUAAUGUUGUCUGUAGUAGGUACUGUGGAAUCAUGGACCUCUAUUCAGACCGUAGUUGGAUGGCACGACGAAAGUCUAGUGCCCAGAUAGGUGCUACAUCUGAAUUUAGAGCUGGUUGCCAAGUGUUUUUAGAGUAUGCGUAUAGUCACCCGGAAUGUAUGAAUGGUAAGUCGCAGAUACGAUGUCCAUGUUUGAAGUGUAAGAAUGUAAAUUAUAUGGACAGAGACAUGGUAAACUAUCAUUUACUUGUUUCUGGGUUCAUGAGAAAUUACGAAGAAUGCUGGUGGGCACAUGGGCAGAGAAGAGAUGGUGGCAUCGUACAAGUACACAAUUCGGGCAGUAGCACUCAUCGUAUGAAUGAAAUGGUUCAUGAUAUUGCAAGGCUAGAUUUUGAUUGGGAGCAAGGCAGAGAGCAACAAAUGAAUUCUGAUGCCAAAGACUUCUUUAAGUUGUUAGAUGAGGGUAGCGAGCCAUUGUGGCAUGGUUGCACCAAACACACUACAUUGUCUGCAGUGGCGACAUUACUUAACAUCAAGGCUGAUCACAACAUGAGCCAUGAGUGUUUUGAGUCGCUCUUGAAUGCCAUUAAGAGUAUGUUGCCUGACGGUGAGAAAUUACCUGGUAACUAUUACUUUUGUAAGAAAAUGGUGAAGAAGUUGGGUCUUGGAUACCAAAAGAUCGAUGCAUGUCCCAACGAUUGCAUGUUGUUUUAUAAGGAAAAUGAACAGUUGACAAGGUGCACGUUUUGCAGUCAUGAUCGGUUUAGGCCUAAUAAAGAGGGUGUGACUACAAAAAUAUCAAGUAUACCGUUUAAGAUUCUAAGGUAUUUUCCAAUAACACAUCGACUAAAAAGAUUGUACAUGUCUUCAAGAACAGCUGAACAUAUGAGUUGGCAUGCGAAAUCUCCAGCUAAAGAUGGAGAACUAAAUCAUCCCGCAGAUGGGAAGGCUUGGAAAGAUUUCAACUUAGCACAUCCUGGAUUUGCAUUGGAACCUAGAAAUGUGAGGCUUGGAUUGUCCACCGAUGGUUUCAAUCCGUUUGGCCACUCAGCUGUUCCGUACUCAUGUUGGCCUGUGAUUGUUACUCCGUACAACUUGCCUCCUUGGAUGUGUAUGAAACAGCCAUACUUGUUUCUUUCACUCGUGGUUCCUGGUCCUAAGAGUCCUGGAAAGAACUUAGAUGUUUACUUGAGACCUCUUAUAGACGAGUUGAAGGUAUUGUGGGAGGAUGGAGUACAGACUUGGGAUGUUGCAACGAAAACAAAUUUCAACCUUAGGGCAGCGGUUAUGUGGACUAUAAGUGACUUCCCAGCUUAUGGUAUGUUAGCUGGAUGGAGUACACACGGGAAGUUGGCUUGUCCGUAUUGUAUGGAGCAUACAAAGUCGUUUAAUCUAUCAAAAGGUCGAAAGCCUUGUUGGUUUGACUGUCAUCGUCGGUUCUUACCGGUAGAUCACCCGUUUCGAAGAAAUAGAGAACACUUCAGGAAAGGGAAAGUAGAUAAUGAUAUGCCUGCACCGCGAUUGUCGGGAACAGAGAUGCGAGAUCGUGUGAUGAGAUUGCCGGUUAUCCCAUUUGGUAAGGUUGAUGUCACAAACAUAAUCAAUGGGUUUGGUGAAUCUCAUAACUGGGUUCGGAGAAGCAUCUUUUGGGAACUGCCAUAUUGGUCUACAAAUUUGAUUCGUCAUAAUCUAGAUGUGAUGCAUAUUGAGAAGAAUGUGUUUGACAAUGUGUUUAACACUGUGAUGAAUGUUACGGGGAAGACAAAAGAUAACGAUAAGGCACGUUUGGACAUGAAAGAUAUUUGUAAGCGUCCUAGAUUAGAACUUUAUGAAUCUCCUAAUGGUAAGAUUGUCAAACCGCAUGCAAGGUACACAUUGUCCAAAAAGCAAGUUGAAGAUGUGUGCACAUGGGUUAAGUCUCUGAAACUACCAGAUGGAUAUGCGUCAAACAUUGCAAGGUGUGUUACGGGUGGGAAAUUGCAAGGGAUGAAGAGUCAUGACUGUCAUGUGUUCAUGGAGAGACUCAUGCCUAUAGCAUUUCGGGAUCUGCUUGAUAAACCAAUAUGGGAUGCUUUGACGGAUCUUAGUCGUUUCUUCAAAGACUUGUGUUCAAAAUCAUUGAAUGAGAAGGACAUGUUUGUACUUGAGAAGAACAUCAUAGAAAUCACGUGUAAACUGAAAAAAAUAUUCCCACCUGGUUUUUCUGACUCCAUGGAGCAUUUACAAAUCCAUCUUCCCUAUGAAGCUCGUGUUGGGGGUCCAGUUCAAUAUAGAUGGAUGUACCCUUUUCGAGAGGGUGAUGGGAAACCUUAAGAGGAAGGUGAAGAAUAGAGCUUAUGUCGAGGGGUCGAUAUGCGAGGCAUACAGUUUCGAUGAGAUAUCUACGUUUGUCUCAGACUAUAUUCCGGACGAAGUCUUGACAAAGGCCAAUCGAGUAUGGAAACAUGAUGAUGGGGGAAAUGUUGAACUAAAUGGUCGGCUCUCUGUAUUUGGUCUAUCGGGCCGCGCUUAUGGAAAAAGGAAGCGCAUAUUCCUCUCUGAACAUGAACUACAUGUUGCACAUACUUACAUUCUUCUCAAUUGCGAGGAGAUUGACGAAUUUGUGAGGUACACAUGUAAACUUGAUAAUUUAUCUUUUAAGUUGAAAUUUUAUUCCAAUAUGUUAAUGUUUAUAACAUGGUAUAGAUUGUACGAUGACGAGUUAAAAGUGGAGCAUCCCGGCAUAACUGAUAAAGAUAUUCAAAUCAAUCGGGAUAAAAACUUUGCACUUUGGCUAAAGGACAAAGUAAGUUCAAAUUUUAAGCACGUAGUAUAUAUAUAUAUACUCCAUGUUAACUAUGACUUCAUUUAAUAAGAUGGAGUUUUUGUAGGCUUUGACUGAGGGAUCAACGAUUCCGGCUAAUGUACAAGUCCUAGCUAUGGGACCAGACAGGGACCAAGUCAGCCGCAAUGGUUACAAAAUAAAUGGUUGUGAAUUUCACACAAAGGCAUAUGGGCGCGGUAAAAGAACAACGAACUCUGGAGUGUGUGUCCAAGGAGAUUGUUACAGUGAGCUUGGUCGUGCCUUUUAUGGGGAGUUGGAGGAAAUCGUAGAGUUGUCGUACAAGGGCACGUACGGGGGUCAUAUUCACUUGUUCAAGUGCUGUUGGUUUGAUUCAGAAAAAGGGAUACGUGUUGACAGACAUGGAAUCAUCGAUAUUGACCUCCAUAGGUCUGCAUACUCAAAGGAACCAUUUGUUUUACCAACUCAAACAGUACAAGUAUACUACACUCCUAGUCCUUUUAGGAAAAGGGAUAGACCGCCUACAGAUUGGCAAGUUGUAAUUCAUACUCCCGCGCGUAGUCGUGUAGAAUUAGUUGAUGGGGAGAUUUACCAAGAGCAGAUGCUUUAUACUCAAACUAUAAUAAAUGUGGAGGACGACAAUGAAGUAAUCCAGUUAGAUGGUGGAGAUGAACCACAUGAAUUAGAUCCUGAGUCAAUACUUGUGUCAGAUGACAUUGAUACUGAGGAGAAAGAGUUAUUGACUGAAUCUGACACUGAAUCUGAAACAGAUGAUGGUUAUGAAUCUGCAACAUGUAUACAAGAUGAUUCUGAAUCAGACAUUGACACUUGAAACAAAUGAGGGAAUCAAUUAAAGCAGAUAUUGUUGUAAUUAAAGCACUUCUUAUAUUUACAUGUCAUUUUAAAACAGAUAUUCUUAUACACUUUUUGUUUACUGUCAUUUUAUAUUCAUAUAUAUACAUGUUUAAAUCACUGUCAUGUUUAUGUACUAAACUAUUUAAAUGCAAUUUUUGCUUAUUGUCAUUUUAUACAUGUAAUCAAAUAUGACUCUGCAAAACAUCUUGAAAUUUGUAAUAUACAGAUGGCUUCUGAAGCAGCGCAGAAAAAGCGCGACUUGGGUAGGGGGCCUAAUCAUGUGCCCAAGGCCCCUACUAAUCCGGAUGAUCGGAUUCUUAUUCAGAUUCGCCCUCCUCCGAAUAGCACGUACGUCCCGCAUAUAUCAAUUUUAUAUAAGCAUUUAAGAUUCCAUUUGUUGUAUAUUGGUAAUGUUUUGAUUGAUAUUAAAUUGAUUUAAUAUAUGAUAAUUGAUGUUGUAUAUUAUAGUAAUUUUUCAGAUAAUAAAAUCGUCAAGUGCAUAUCACAGCUGUGUUUACAGAAUUGGCAUACAUCUGUGAUUACGUGGGCGAACACACCUAUCGCCCACAAGGAUGCUGUUUGGGCAGAAUUUCAGGUAAGUUUUUUUUAAUUAUGACAGAUAAUAUUAAUAUAAUAUUCAAAGGAUAAUUAUUUAGUAGUGUUAUUAUUGUUGUUUUAUUUGUAGAAAAGGUAUAGAUGGGAGGACGCGCAUGCUUCGGUGAUUCAGACAUUAUUUUGGCAGAAGUGCGCGGUCCGUACCAAGGAUAACUUGAAUAAAGAACGACAAAAAGUCAUUCACAAUACCGAGAUCGACCAUCCAGGCCAGGGAGAGGAUUAUAUGCACGAGCAUAGCCCCUGGUGGUGCCCCCAGUCCAUAUGGGCUGAGAUGUGUGCCCAGUGGAGGGCUGAGAGCUGGGUUAAAAGACGAAAGACUGCCGCCACCAACAGAGCCUCGGGUGUAUCCGAUGGCGAAAAGGCUAAAGGAACAUACAAGGGCGACAGUAUUUCACAGUUGCAGCACAUCACUGCCAUGGUACGUAUUUACAAGUCUUAAUAUGUUUUCAAUUAUGAAUUGUAGAAAAUAUAUCCCAUUUUUACUUAGUAAUAUUGUGUUAUUUUUGUAUAGGAAUUUCAGUCUCAAGGUCAGUCUAUCCAUUGGCUGGAUGUGUACGUGGCCACCCGUGAUGGUCUGCUUGAGGCUAUCCAGAUAUCGGUAAUAAAUUUUAACAACUUGAUCUUUAAUUAAUGCUUACAGAAUUAAUUUAUUUUUAAUUAUUUAAUUGUUAACAUGAUGACAUGCAGGACACUUAUAAGCGUUUAUUGAAUGAGCACUAUCCUGAAGGCACUCCAUGUCCGUCUAUCGAUCAAGAGUUGUGGGAGAGGGCGUCUGUUGUGAAGAAGAACUACGUUAAAGGUCAAGGACAACGACGACGCCCAUCCUUCAGUGGCUCAGGUUGCUCUUCUACCCAGUCUACACAGUCAUCGAGCCAUCCAGCUGUUCAUACUCCGGCUGACUGUGUGAGAGUUAUAUGUCAAGAUCGAAAUCUUUUGACAAUACUGGGCGGGAAUCUGGGGGCUCUGGAUCCUGAGGAGUUAGCUAAGGCAGUGGCGGCAGCAGCAGCAUCACAACACGGGGAUGACGAUGAGGUAUAAAAUCAAUUUAUUGUAUAUUGUCGUAAUAUACCAAUAUUAACAUAGUUAGUAUAUAUUUGUAACUUGUUUUAUUAUUUUGUUAAUUACAGGGUGAUCAAGAAGGCGGUGAUGCUUGACGCACCUGCUUUAGAUUAGUUUUAUAGUUAUAGUAUAAGUUUGUACUUGUUUCAUUCUUCGGAUGUUUGUAUAUUGUUACUUAAACAAGUUUUGAAAUGUUAUUAUAUUUAUUCAAAAUCAUAUUGGUUUUGAAUGGUUUAUAUACUAGUUUGGUGUAUGUGUUAUAUGGUGGACGAUGGAUGUUUAUAUUGUUGUGUAUGCUGUUGUUAUGUAUGUGUGUUGGGAUAAAACAGGUACAGGUUUUUGGGAUUUAUGCAAAAUAGCAAGAUUAUGUUAUUUUAUUUUUCUAUAUCAGCGACCGCAUACAGUCGCGGAUAUUAAUAGCGAUGGAAAAUAAAUUGUGAGCAUCAGCGACCGCAUGCGGUCGCCGAUAACGGUCGCUGCCACGUGGAAUACGUCAUCUUUGGCCAUGCACCAUGCUGACUCAGCUUAGCGAUCGCAUUUGGCGUUACGGUCGCUAUUAUCGGUCGCAAAUAAGUCGGUCGCUAAUAGUGGUCGCUGAUGUGCAUUUUAGCGACCAGAUUUUGUGCAACGUCUUUCAGCGAUCGUAUGCGGUCGCUGAUGGUUAUCUGUGACGGCAUGCGGUCGCUGAUAGACGGUCGCUUAUAAAGCUUUUUCUUGUAGUGUAAAUUCGAAACAUAAGAACCCUUACUUUACCCUGAAUUAUAAAUGGCAGGUAAAAUAAAUAAUAAAUGGUUCAUGUAAACAAAGUACAAAACACAAAUUUCUCAGAUUCAACUGUAUUAGAGGAGACUAUUCAAAAGAUUAUGUCUAGUAUUGGCGACGUUGCCUUUGUCUCUUUCAUUAUUAAAUUUUGCCCACUAAAUCUUGCUUCACCCUUAAAUCAUGUGUUUGCCUAAUUUUAUUUUAUUUGGUUGUAUUGCUUCAAUCUGAUCCGAUUUUAUUGUCUACUUUUCUCUAUAGGAGUCCAAAUCAGUUUCGAUGAUUUGUUUACUGAUGAAAAGAACAAUUUCAAAGAGCAGUGGAUUCUGGAGAGCUAAGCAGUUUGAUUGAGCCAUGAGAAUCUUACCUUGAUUGCAAAAGCCUUCCGCUAGAACAAUAUAUAUAUAUAUAUAUAUAUAUAUAUAUCAUAUCUCUGAGCCCAGAAGGAAUCCAACUUGUUCAACCACUUGUGAAAUAUGAAAUGACAGCAUCAGUGCAAAAGAAUAUGUUAUGGGGACUGGCAAUAGGAUCGGUCAUGCUUACCUUGAGUAUGUAUAUCUUCUGUUUUGGGUCAAGGUAGGCAUCCAAGAACCAUCUCUGAAGCUCUAUCUCACUGUUUGGAGAAAACAUGCAUGCUCUCCAGCUUCCAAACACAUUGGUGGCUUGCAAUUUGGAUUGGGAACCUACUUUUCCUUGGGAGAAACGCUUUUAGUUUUCCUGUUUUGUGACAUGCAGAGGCUGAUUCAGGCUACAGGCGAACAUGGGAAUUCAUUUACUAAGUUUUAAAAACUCAAAACCAAGGUGUAAGGAAAAGGGUAAAAAAGGACAAAUAGGACUCUCACAGUAUUUAUAAUUUAAAAUUCCCUUCUGCCAAUAUAUUGUUACUAUCAAUGGUGAAUAUAAAAUUCUCAACAAUGCAGUUUAGUUUCUUCUGCUCACCCUGAUGCAAUUUUUAUCGGCUCUUUCUCAAUAUAUUGUUACUAUCGGCGCUUUGGGCCAUAAUUUUAGAGGAAGCGAAAUUUGUGCGGGAGCCUAAGAUAGGAAGUGAUGUGUGAAAUAAAUUAAAAAAUUAGUGAACUAAUAUAAUUUCAAAUCCCUAAUAUAAAUUACAUUAAUCUACCGUAAGUAAACACAACGUAGCAAUUUACGAAGGGGAAACAAAAAAAUUAAGAAAAUUAACUAAGAAUCUAUAAUAUGUAAAAAUGACUAAGGAAACCAAUACAUAAUUUGGACAAUAUGUUAGCAGGUCAAAAAUCAAAUUCAUGUAGAGCUGCGAAAUUCAUGUUAGAAUAGAGUCGUGUGUGCGUGAGAGAGAUGUGCAAGGGUGAGAGUGAAGUGUGAGGAACUCAAAAAUAUAACCGACAAUAUAGUGUAUAUCGCUCUAACCGAAAUUCUAACACGUUAGAUAGCUAUUAGAUAUCUACAACGAAAAAUAUCUUUUCCAUACCAACUAUGUUUUUAUGGAUUCAUCUAAUGACGUCAUCAUUACUUUCUGCCAGAACUAACUUAUAAUGAGGUAAGAACAUCAUUCCCAUCCAUUCCUGCUAUCCAAAUGAGGCCUCAUGGCCUGUGAUUACACCAUAUAAAGGCCCUUCACUCCAAUACAAUUGGGCUAGAUGACAGUUCAUGAGGAUAAUUAACUUCACUGGAUAAAUUUUACAUAGUUACCACCCACUAACAGGUUUCAACCAAUGCCAUUCAUAUCCCACUUAGCUUACCUUCCAGUUAUACUAUAUACAAACAGGAGUACAUUGAUUUUCAUCCAGCCCCUAAAUCAACUAAACUUCGUGUUUAUAACAGGGCCUCCUAAUAUCCUCCUAUCUCUCUAUCAAAAAUUAAAUACAUCAGUAUCAACCAUCACGUUCCUUAAUUAGCUUUCAAUAUACUCCACCAAAACAGAGAUGCAAUUAUAGAAAAUUAAUAGGUACUUAGAUGCUUGGAGGAGAUUAACUUCAUAAUGUUAGAAACAAACAGGAUCUUUAUGCUGCAUUUGGCACACAUUACGUUCAAGCUUAGAAAAACUUGAUAUUUGAAGUUAGAUAAACCCAAGGGGAUAACUCAAGUGUACUAAACCUAGAGAUAUGUGCCUUUAAAAGUCAAUACUUCGCAAAGGGAAUGCUCUCCUUAGGGCGACCCACAUAAAAUUUACUACUAUUAGGCUUAAUUGGUGUGUGGUGGGUGGGGUAUUGCAUGCAUAAUAGAGCAAGCUAAGUCUUUAUCUUUCUAUUAUUAGUUAGAUUCUGUUUGACUUGGUAUUUAAAGUUUGAAUUUUGUAUUUUCAGUUUCAUUAUUUUUAGGAGUUAGUUUAGGAAGCUAUGUACUUGAAUUGUUUUUAAACUCAUUUGUUAAUUAUAAAUAAUGAUCAAUGAAUAACCAAGAGGUGAAUGCAGUUUCUCUAUUUUAUACUCUUCACCUCUAUGUAACAACACACACCCUAAGGUAGUGGAUGCAGGUUCUAUGAAGAAAAAAAAACUAUCUGGUUAGAUAUGUUACCAUCAUAUAACUUUAAAUUUCUUUAUUUUUCAAUAUGUCGCCAUGAAAAUAAUUAAGUGAUUAAGUUUCUUUAUAUAACUUCCACGUACACAGUCAAUCAAGUUGUAUAGUAGCUCUGUAGCUUUAGAAAUUUAGCUCACUGCAUGAUGCAGAACAUGAGUAAAUUAGUGAACCUUGGAGGCCAAAUGGAAGAGAAAGAAUUAGGGAUGGGGGGAUUCAAUCUAUUUAUUAUAUGAAUGGGGAAAGAAAAGAAAGUCGGACAAUGAUGAAGCCAUGAAGGAAAGUAUGCCAAGUAUUUGAACAAACUAAAAAGACACCAAUAUUAAAAUCAGAUUAGUAUAAUAAGAAAACAAUACCAACAAUAAUUGAUCCUCAUAUGAACACGUAGAACUAAAAAAUAUUAUAAUAGCAAAGCAUAAAACACAGUUUAUGCCAAAGUAAAUUAAUUAGUCACAGUGUUAACAUCAGCACGAAUUAGUAAAUAAGUCUAAAAUUCCACAAAACUAAUAUUCAUACUGGUGGUGUUAUACGAUAUUCAGGUUUUAGAGCAACCCUAAUGCCUAUUCCAGCUGCAAAUUAAGAGAGGAAGAGGGACUUACAAGAAGAAGAGGACGGAGGGGAGUGAUGGGUGCGGCCGGCGGAAGGAGGGAUGAGGGAAUGGCCGAUGGGUUGACCUAUCCGGGUCCCAAAAAAUCUGUUCUGCAAGUUGAGAAAAUCCAAGUUCCAAUCAUUUCGUCCCGAAUCAAAUCGGAGAAGACGAAGACGAAGAGUCACAAAGGUCUACUCCACCAAAGAAUGCUUUUUUAUUAACUCGAUGUAGAUCUGCUCCGUACAGAUCUUCGUCUUUGGCCAACCGAUUUUGGGGUUCGCCUCAGGCGAGCUUAUUAGAAGAAACAGAGGAGGAUUUAGGGCUGGGUAUGAGGAUUUUGAGGGAUCGACUUGUUUGGGGGAAAAUAAGAGGGAAUGAGAGAGCUCUGUGUGUAGUAGAACAGAGAGACGUGUGUGGUAGAAUAGAGAGAGAUGGUUUCAAAUUUGAAUAAAGGGGAAUGAGAGAGAGAGCUGCUGACGUUAACUUGAUGUUACAUUUGUCUAUUUUCUCUUUCUGUUCUGUUUUAUAGAUAUAGAUAUAUCAAUUAGUAAUAAAUGAAGUAGUCUCCUUUCAAGUAUGGAAGACGUGAACAAUUUUAAUUGAGUGACAUGAAACGCGCGUGUGGGUUGUUGUGCCUGCAUAAAAAUGAUGAUACUAUUUAAUUUAAAAUUAAUUGACAAUAAAUUAUAUAUCGAGUUUCUAGGUCCUAAUUUUUCGAUGCGAGACUUUAUAUAUCAACAAUAAAUAUAUAGAAAAACUAUCAAAGGUUUAUUUAUUUAUUUUAUGAAUUGUCAUAAAUUUGUAGAUGAAAUAUAGAAUUGCAACCAUAUAGUACUAACUAAUUAGAGAGGCUGCAAUAUGCAUGCCAAUAUUCUAGAGUUAAUGGAAAAUCAUGUGUUCAGAUAACUCUAUAUAUGAAGCAUCGGAAUAUGUACAAAUAUUUAGUUGAACUCGUUAAACUCCCUUCUUAUUAAUUAUUUAUUGCAUGCAACAACUGCCUUCUUACUUCCUCCUUUCCAAUUUUCAUUAAAGUCAUUUUAGAAGAAAUUUCUUUCCCAUAAUAAAAGACGCACGUGUUAUAUAUAUAGGAGGAAAAAAGUAAUACUUUCCUACUUUGCCCCUAAAAAAAAUAAAGUAAUUGAGCGAGAGGAGAAAAAGUAAUUAAUUAAUGUAUGAGUUGUAAUGAAAUUUUAAAUCAACAUUAAUUAACUAAUAUUAGAAUUAAUGAGAUUUUUUAAAUAAUAGCUUAAAUAAUUCUUUCACGAGAAAAGGAAAAUAAAUGAAUAUAUAUUUAUUAUUAAUGUAGUUAUAAUUAAAGUAAAACAUUGGCAUACAAACAAUUACUGAGAUUUGAUACAAGUUAGAAAUUAAGACAAAGAAUUACUAGUAUUUUCUAGGUUACAUUUUGCCAAGGAAUAUAAAUCGGUGGUUUGUGGAACAAUAUAUAUGAAAUAUUUACUACUACUAGAUAGAUAUGUCAAUGGUGCGGAUUCUACUGAAUAUAUAUAUAUAUAUAGAGUCCAGUUCCGAUUCGGACGUCCGCAUUUUAGUAGCGUCCAGGCCUUUUUUUUUUCUUUUUUUUGCUUUUUUUUAUUCAACUAAAAAAAAAAUAAAAAAAAUAUGGAACUUGAAUUUUUACAUAAUACAGUGUUUUGGAUGUAAUUUGGAUACAUAUAUCAAAACAUAUAUGUACAGUCUGUGCAGACUGUACAAAACAUAUAUGUACAGUCUGUGCAGACUGUACAUACAUUUUUUGGUAUAGGUAUCCAAAACACGUCCAAAACAUUAUAUUAUAAAAAAAAUUCAGUUCCAUAAUUUUUAUUUUUUUUUAGUUGUUCUACAAAAAAAAAAAAAUAAUAAUAAUUUUUAGGGUUCGGAUUUUGGACCUGUCCUGAAGUUCGGACAGGAUCCGUGUUAUAUAUAUAUAUGGAAAUUGGAACAUGCAUAACAUUAAUUUAAGUACAUACAUGAAGGCCCCCAGCUAUUGUGUGAUACAAUUAUAAAGAUCGUACUGACAUAGAACUACAAAGGGCCUGCCCUAUUUUGCUAACUGGAAGGGCCCUGGCCUAGUUAUGGACAACUUUAAUGAUGGAAAUAUAAAAAUCCGAUCAUGAUAAUUACAGGAUCUUGACAUGCAUGUUACAUUAACUGUAGUCUGUAGGAGUGGGGCAAAAGUAAAAUAUUAUUACCUUCUUAAAAAUUUAUGGUUUAAGAUUUUUGUAUAUAGAUUAAAAAAGUUAUUUAAUAUUAUUAUUUAAUAAUUAAAAUUUAUUUUAAAUUUCAUUAGUAUCCUUUUAUCAGAGAGAAUUUCUUGAGAGAAUGAGAGAAGGUAGGGGUGAUAUAAGAAAAUAAAUAAAUUAUUCUCCUCGAAAGUUGUAAACGUCAAAUAAAUUGAAAUAAAUUUUUUUUUCUAAAACAAUAAUCUUUUAGAAAUAGAGGGAGUACUACUGUAUCACAUAUGCAUGCAUGUAUUACUGAUCUCAUCGUUUUUUCAUACAAAUCCAUAAUUAAUUAUGUUUAAAUAAUUUUCUAUUUUUUUUCAAGGAUACCAUUGCAAGUAAAAUAAAUACCAUAAUCAAUAAUCUCACAUAUACAGAUAAAAAUAUCAACAAAUUCCCAGUACUGUUAAGAUAAUGGUGAGAAAGAAAUGAAUCUUAGCCUUAAUUAAGUAAAGUCACACGCCUGAUCAAUUUUAAGCAUAAACACUAAUUAGGACCUCAUUAAAGCAGCCAGGGACAUUGGAUUUGAAUCUCCGUACAAUGUACUCAUUGAAGCCGCCACUAAGUAAAAGGAAAAAGAAAAGAAGAAGUGAAGAAAAAUAGAAAACGUAGUGCUUAUUAAUUAAGAGUCGCUAAAGCCAUAAUUAAUUAAAGCUCCUGCAUCUUCUUUAGUGAGCCAUUGAUGAGAUGAAGAGUCAUGACAGUACUGGUAGCAGAUCACACCAAUUUCCCCCCAAUAAACAUGCACCGCUUGCACCGACGGGUUGCACCCUAGCUAGCUACCUAGCCCUACUAAAGAUAUUAAUAGUCUCUUGAUUGCAUGGGGACAUGCAGCAUGAACUCGAUCUUACUAAAGAUAUAUCACCAGUACUGCCUUUCGAUAUCGAUGCAUGCCAAUUUCGCUACACGUACGAUCCAUUCCAAGCAUAUAGUAACGUAAAUUAUUCUAGCUAGGUGGUUAUAAAAAUAUGAAAACUUGAAUUUGAUGAGGAACGAACGAAGUAGAAAAAGGAUGCAUGCUGAUCAAUUAUGGAGUUUUAAUUAUAGUUAGUUAGUACUUCUAGGCUUGGCUGGCUUGUGAUAUUGGUAUUGGAGCUCUCAAAGUGCUUAUAUUUAUAGUCAAAAGAGAGGUGUGGGAUUGCAUAAUUUAGCCUCUUCUUUUUAUUAUAACAUCUUUCUUUACAAAUUUAUAUAUAGUAAUGCAAAAGAAGAAUAGAGUAGAAAAAGACUACGGUUCUUUCGGAUAUAUAUAUUUAUAUAUAGGGCAAAGAUGCAAAAAAGCCCCUGAUGUUUACACGAUUGUCCCACUUCCACCUUCAACUAAUUUUUUUUUCCAAAAGUAUCCUUAACGUUUCAAAAAGAAGGUCACCCGUGUCCUUGCCGUUAACAGAAGACAAACGAGAUUAAAAUAUGAUGACGUGUCAGACUUAAAUUAGGGCAAAUGUUCAAAAAUGUCCCUGAUGUUUAUACGGAUAUCCCACUUCCACCCUAAAUUAAUUAGAAUAUUAUCAUAUAAAACAUAUUCUAAAUAAAAUAAUAUAUAUCAUUUAAUCAAAACAAAAAAUUCAAAAUUCAAAAAAAAAAAAAACAUAACAUAUUUACAUCAUUUAAUUAAAAUAAUAAAAUUUAAAUUAUUUUGUUAACUAAUCAAAACAACUAAUUAAAUAAAAUAAGUUGUAUAACAUAAUUACAUCAUUUAAUCAAAGUUUUCAUUAUUUAGCCAACACUUUACCUUUCUCAGGGAGAAACUUGACGAGGCCAAUAAAGAAAACAAGUUGCUUGAGAAAAGAUUGAAUUUGAGUUGGGUAUUAUUGGCUAUUGACAAUCUUCACUUUUCCACCUUAAGCCCAAGCCAUUUCAUUACGGUUCUUAAGCAGACUAUUAAAACUAUUAGGAAUCUGCUGGCUGGGAUCUAGAUGCUGCUGCCAAUUGAAGCCUAAGUUCACAUUUGCAAAAUUUUGCUGCACCAAGUAUUUGCUACUUAUUCAUCCCAAGAUGGAAGCAUCUCUAUUCGAAAACUUAAAUCAGAGACAUUCGGUGGGAUCCGGAGAAAAGGGAUAAACUAAUACACCCAACAGAACAAGGAUAAAUCAAACAUAGGAAAGAAGGGAUCAAAAAUCAGACAAUAAAACAUAAGAAAGGAGGGAUCACAAAUUAGACAAAAUUUGAGGAAACUCAUAAAGAACAAACUCUGGAUUUCUUUCGCGACAAACAAAAAUUAGAGAGCAUCACCUUCUGUUGGCCGGAGUUUUGCAGGAAUCUUCCCUUCCGUAGCAAAUUUGUUCGUAGCGAGAGAGAUGGUUGGGAGAAUCCGUAGCAAACUUGUUCGUAGAAAGAAAGAUGGUUGGGUUAGAGAGAGAAGUGGAUGGUUCAUCUGAGACCUCACACUCAUUUGACCCA
rnacentral:lncRNA from 1 species